rnacentral:rRNA from 1 species
GACGAACGCUGGCGGCGUGCUUAACACAUGCAAGUCGAACGGAAAGGCCCUGCUUUUGUGGGGUGCUCGAGUGGCGAACGGGUGAGUAACACGUGAGUAACCUGCCCUUGACUUUGGGAUAACUUCAGGAAACUGGGGCUAAUACCGGAUAGGAGCUCCUGCUGCAUGGUGGGGGUUGGAUAGUUUCGGCGGUUGGGGCUGGAUUCGCGGCUUAUCAGCUUGUUGGUGGGGUAGUGGAUUACCAAGGCUUUGACGGGUAGCCGGCCUGGGAGGGUGACCGGCCACAUUGGGACUGAGGUACGGCCCAGACUCCUACGGGAGGCAGCGGUGGGAAAUAUUGCACAAUGGGCGGAAGCCUGAUGCAGCAACGUCGCGUGCGGGAUGACGGCCUUCGGGUUAUAAACCGCUUUCGCCUGUGACGAAGCGUGAGUGACGGUAAUGGGUAAAGAAGCACCGGCUAACUACGUG